rnacentral:rRNA from 1 species
UGGGGAAUAUUGGACAAUGGGGGGAACCCUGAUCCAGCCAUGCCGCGUGUGUGAAGAAGGCCUGAUGGUUGUAAAGCACUUUAAGCGAGGAGGAGGGUACUGGUAUUAAUACUACCAGCUACUGGACGUUACUCGCAGAAUAAGCACCGGCUAACUCUGUGCCAGCAGCCGCGGUAAUAAAGAGGGUGCGAGCGUUAAUCGGAGUUACUGGGCGUAAAGCGUGCGUAGGCGGCUAAUUGAGUCGGAUGUGAAAUGGCCGAGCUUAACUUGGGAAUUGCAUUCGAGACUGGUGAGCUAGAGUGUGGGAGAGGAUGGUAGAAUUCCAGGUGUAGCGGUGAAAUGCGUAGAGAUCUUGAGGAAUACCGAUGGCGAAGGCAGCCAUCUGGCCUACCACUGACGAUGAGGUACGAUAACAUGGGGAGCAAACAGG